AACAGGGCUCGCGCUGGCAGGAGCCAAUGAGCAAAUUGGCUCCAAAAUAUUUAAUUUGGCUCAAGAAAAUCGCAAUUGGCUCAAACUUACGAAAAGUAUGACUUUCGGAAUAUCCAGUCUAAUUUUAGAUCCCGCUAUUUUAAGAAUGGGAAAACACGGUCUGGUUGUCGAAUUACAGCUUCCGUUUUACUGCUUUUUAUCUUAAAACACGCGAUACAGUCUAGAUUUUGAAGGUCAUUGACUGGUUUAUGCACGUUACUUCCUCUCAGUAAAGAAAAUCGAUACGAAUAGUAAUACAGUCUAGUAAAAUGACCUUGUGUUGUGUAUUGUUUACACAAGUGAUAAAUAUGACACUAAUUGGCGUGAAAACUUCAAUGAUUGCUGUGUGCCGAAUUGUUAGAUGCACUGGAUAAUUGAUCUAAAUAUUAAACAAUUAAUAGCGGUACCUUAAGAUUAUCGCUAAUCAAAUUAGCGGCUUUAAAUUCAAAAGAAAGUACGACAAUGUUUAGCUGGAAACAUUUAAAGAAGGUGUCGAUCAUACAGAUUGUGUACAAGCAGAAUCACUGGCAGUUACCAUGCAAACAGCCCAACAGAAUGCUUUAGGAAAAAGUGAGGCUGCUGUCACUUCUGCUCUACGAAAUGUGUAUUUUGCAGCCAAACAUGACCUAGCGAAUGUGGUUGUUCCAGAGCUGAAUGAUUUAUGCAUCAAGCAGGGUGUAACACAGUUUGAAAGACUUGAGAGUUGACAACCAU